CUUUUAUGCACAUUUUGACGCCAAAUUCUAAAUACUGUUGAUUCAGCAAAAUUGCCGAACGGAUGGCAUGUCAAUACACACACUCACACACGUGUAUGUAUGUAUAUAUGUAUAUAUUUGUAUGUAUAUUUGCAUGCAUACAUGCAUAUAUGUAUAUGUGUGUGUAUGUAUAGUAUAUCAUGUGUUAUGCAGAUACAACAUAUAACGGUGACUGCAUCAACUAC
rnacentral:lncRNA from 1 species